AUAUAUAUGUAUAAACAAAAAGAUAUCCAGGAUGCACUCUCAGGACUUGAGUGCAUCCUCAAGUCCUGAGAGUGCAUCCUGGAUAUCUUUUUGUUUAUAUAU